CUGCGCUAGAUCCGGGACACCAACUCGAGACGCCCCUUAACCCCACGGCACACGUGCUGGCCAACUUCAGGGUUUGUUGCCCGGCCCGCCCCGGGUGGAUCCCCAACCCGGAGAAACGAAUUGGAGCCGACUGCGCCGCCACCCACGUUAGGGGGCGGAGGAAGAAGGGACUUGGGAGGGGCAGGGGUCGUCUACGUCUUCUUUCACUUUGUACUGGUUUUUUUUUUUAAAAAAUGCCUCGCGUCUCAGAGGUUUGGAGAGUUUGGUUAAGGACGGGGUGUAACACGGUGACGGACUGAUGGGCUGAAAGUUUGAGGGUGUCGGAGGAUUUUUAGGUCUUAGUGGUUAACCCCCUAGCAUGAGCGCAUUGAAGGGUGAAAAAGAGGUUCCCUCAUUCAUUUUCUCAUUCAUUCAUUCACUUGAGUCCCGCCCAGGGAUGCUCCCAGGUGUUACUCCUGGUAUGGCUGUCCCUCUAAGAACUCACAGCGAGCUGCUCCCAACCCUCACACCGGCUUUAAAUUUCUAGCAUUUCAGAGCCCAGCAAACAGCCCCAGAGAGUUGAGCCAGAAGUUUGAGGAAGUUCUCCGAGUCACUGCCCAGGUCUUUGAGCUGCUUCUGAGUAACAGGGACUUUUCUGCUCCAUAGCCCUGGAGAAAAAUUUCCCCAAAGCCGUCAGAAGUUACUGAGGUGGAACCAGAAAACCAGAGAUUGGAGUAAGGCUGGAUCAGAGAAAUGGUUCGCCUGGUUAAGGUCCUUGCUUCUGAGCCCGAGGAGGACCUGAAUUUCAUCCCGGAGACCCUCCCACAAGUUGUCCUCUGAGCUCCACGCACAUACACAGAGUCAAUCAGUAAAUGUUCUUUAAUUAGAAGGGAAAAGGAGGUUUUUCAAUAAACCUGACAGCCUUUCAGUGAGACUCUGUCCUUGACCAAUGGAAAAGUCUGAGAAGGAACCUUGCACCGUAACCAUAACUCAGAGAGAAGCAGUUACUCCAUCGAGGGCCAUUUCCCUGGGAAAAGAGAGCUCCAGGGAGCUUGACUUCGGUCUUCAAACAGGCUUAUUCUAUGUGUUCAUGGGACAGAAAUUCAACCAGUGGAUGAAAGGCUGUCUUCUGACCACCACAUCUGUGCUGUGGAACAUGUGAGGCUCCUUCCCCAUCCUGAACUGUCAUCAAUCAAUCCAUCGAUUAGAAAAAAAAUUUUAAAGAAAGAAAGAAACGCUAACAUCAUAAUUAAGAGGGGUCCGGGUUUAAGGAAGCAUCAUAAAACUAUCUUUGUUCUCUUUUCUUUUCCUCAGAAAUCAUUCUCCAAAUAUUAGAACAAGAAAAAGGUUGUUCCUCCAACCUCGGUGAAAAUAUGAGUUUUCAACUCUAAUAAGAUGCCGUGGUGGCACACGCCUCAAAUCCUACCCAGCUCUUGGGAGGCAGAGGCAGGCUGAUCUCUGAGUUCGAAGCUAUCCUGGUCUACAUAGUGAGUUCCAGGACAGCCAGGGCUACACAGAGAAACCCUGUCUCAAAAAAAAAAAAUGCAAAGUAGAUGAAAUAUUGGUAAAUUGAUGUGUCUAGGUUAGGGGUUGAAAGAAUGAAAACUGCAGUUUAAAAAAGAAGUGGUAGAGAAGAAUUUUACACACACACACACACACACAUACACACACUCAUACACACACUCAUACACACACACUCAUACACACACACACUCAUACACAUGCACAAAGGAUGUGUGUGUGGAUUUCUCUCAUCUUAUGAUGGGGUUAUAAAAAUAUCCCCCAACUGCAUUCAAAUACUUCUGUUACUGAACAUAGCUUGGUCUAAUUAACUUACAUUAAACAUGCCUAAAACCCUUCUAUUACACUAUAGUGGGCAAAAUAAUUGAACACAAAGCCUAUUUUAUAGUAAAGGGUUGAAUGUAUCAUAAUUUACUGAAUACCCACCUCCAGAAAAAUAACAACAACAAGGAAUAUGAGCGAUUUAUCCUCUUAAUGACAUGGCUGACCAGAAACUACAGCAGUACAAUUAAAAUUGUAUUGUAUUGCAGGAGCAUUACUGAGUUAGGGGGAAAAAAAUCAAAAUUCAAAAUACAUAUGCUGCCUUUAUCCCACUGUGCAAUUGCAAAAAAAAGCAUUAAAUCAUAAAUUUACUGUGUGCUACACACACUAUGUGUGAUAAAUACAAAAUGGUCUGUUCUAUUCUGAGUACUUUUGUGAAGAUUUGAAAUAUUUCUUAGUUAAAUGUUUAAGCCCAGAAAAGUCAGGUAGUUGUGGGAAUGACAGUCCCACAUUCCAAGGAAGUUGGGGGAAUUUAAGGAAGCUGGGGGAAUUUAGAGCAUGUUGAGGUGAGGGCGGAAACCAAGGAAAUGGUGGAACAUCUGUAUAAAGAAAAGCAAGAUGCCCAUGUUCCCACUGAUUCAGGUGACACCCUCCACUUCCUCCAAAGACAGAAGCUUGACCUAGUUCAGAUCUCAGAACCUAUGUAAAACCAGACACAGGACUAGCACAUGUCUGUAAUCCCAGUGUCUCUACAGGAGAGAUGGGAGCCAGAGACAAGAGCAUCCCUGGAGAGCAGCCUGAUAUAAAGCAAUAGCAAACGGAUGUGAUGGAAGAUGUCCUCAGUAUGACUAUAAUGUGCCCCAAAGAAAUACUGCUAAUAGGGGCUGGAGAGAUGGCUCAGCAGUGAAGAACACUGGCUGAUCUUCCAGAGGACCCGGGUUUGAUUCCCAGCACCUACAAAGAGGCUCACCAUGAUUCAUAACUCCAGUUCCAGAUGAUCUGAUGCCAUCUUCUGACCUCCCUGAGCACCAGAUAUGCACGCGGUACACAGACACACAUGCAGACAAAACACCCAUACACAUAAGAUAAUAAAACAAUUUUUAAAAA